rnacentral:rRNA from 1 species
UGCCAGCCGCCGCGGUAAUACGUAGGGUGCAAGCGUUGUUCGGAAUCACUGGGCGUAAAGGGCGUGUAGGUGGAAAAAUAAGCUAGAGGUGAAAUCCCGGAGCUCAACUCCGGAAGUGCUUCUAGAACUGUAUUUCUAGAGAAGGUUAGAGGUUAGUGGAAUUCCAGGUGUAGAGGUGAAAUUCGUAGAUAUCUGGAGGAACAUCAGUAGCGAAGGCGGCUAGCUGGGACCUUUCUGACACUGAGGCGCGAAAGCAUGGGGAGCAAACAGGAUUAGAUA